UGGGGAAUCUUGGACAAUGGGGGCAACCCUGAUCCAGCCAUGCCGCGUGAGUGAUGAAGGCCUUAGGGUCGUAAAGCUCUUUCGCCUGUGAAGAUAAUGACGGUAGCAGGUAAAGAAACCCCGGCUAACUCCGUGCCAGCAGCCGCGGUAAUACGGAGGGGGUUAGCGUUGUUCGGAAUUACUGGGCGUAAAGCGCACGUAGGCGGACCAGAAAGUUGGGGGUGAAAUCCCGGGGGCUCAACCCCGGAACUGCCUCCAAAACUAUUGGUCUAGAGUUCGAGAGAGGUGAGUGGAAUUCCAAGUGUAGAGGUGAAAUUCGUAGAUAUUUGGAGGAACACCAGUGGCGAAGGCGGCUCACUGGCUCGAUACUGACGCUGAGGUGCGAAAAGUGUGGGGAGCAAACAGGAUUAGAUACCCUGGUAGUCCACACCGUAAAACGAUGAAUGCCAGUCGUCGGGUAGCAUGCUAUUCGGU
rnacentral:rRNA from 1 species